rnacentral:rRNA from 1 species
CCUACGGGGUGCAGCAGUCGAGAAUCAUUCACAAUGGGGGAAACUCUGAUGGUGCGAUGCCGCGUGGGGGAAUGAAGGUCUUUGGAUUGUAAACCCCUGUUAUGCGGGAGCAAACGCAAAAGAUAGUACCACACGAGGAAGAGCCGGCUAACUCUGUGCCAGCAGCCGCGGUACUACAGAGGUCUCAAGCGUUGUUCGGAAUCACUGGGCGUAAAGCGUGCGUAGGCUGUUUCGUAAGUCGUGUGUGAAAGGCGCUGGCUCAACCCGCGGACUGCACAUGAUACUGCGAGACUAGAGUAAUGGAGGGGGAACCGGAAUUCUCGGUGUAGCAGUGAAAUGCGUAGAUAUCGAGAGGAACACUCGUGGCGAAGGCGAGUUCCUAGACAAUAACUGACGCUGAGGCACGAAGGCCAGGGGAGCGAAAGGGAUUAGAUACCCCAGUAGUC